CCUACGGGAGGCUGCAGUGGGGAAUAUUGCACAAUGGGCGCAAGCCUGAUGCAGCCAUGCCGCGUGUGUGAAGAAGGCCUUCGGGUUGUAAAGCACUUUCAGCGGGGAGGAAGGCGGUGAGGUUAAUAACCUCAUCGAUUGACGUUACCCGCAGAAGAAGCACCGGCUAACUCCGUGCCAGCAGCCGCGGUAAUACCGAGGGUGCAAGCGUUAAUCGGAAUUACUGGGCGUAAAGCGCACGCAGGCGGUCUGUCAAGUCGGAUGUGAAAUCCCCGGGCUCAACCUGGGAACUGCAUUCGAAACUGGCAGGCUAGAGUCUUGUAGAGGGGGGUAGAAUUCCAGGUGUAGCGGUGAAAUGCGUAGAGAUCUGGAGGAAUACCGGUGGCGAAGGCGGCCCCCUGGACAAAGACUGACGCUCAGGUGCGAAAGCGUGGGGAGCAAACAGGAUUAGAUACCCUGGUAGUC
rnacentral:rRNA from 1 species